rnacentral:rRNA from 1 species
UACGUAGGGUGCAAGCGUUAAUCGGAAUUACUGGGCGUAAAGCGUGCGCAGGCGGUUUUGUAAGCCAGAUGUGAAAUCCCCCGGGCUCAACCUGGGAAUGGCAUUUGGGACUGCAAGGCUGGAGUACGGCAGAGGAGACUGGAAUUCCUGGUGUAGCAGUGAAAUGCGUAGAUAUCAGGAGGAAUACCGAUGGCGAAGGCAGGUCUCUGGGCUGAUACUGACGCUCAUGCACGAAAGCGUGGGGAGCAAACAGG